rnacentral:lncRNA from 1 species
CCAGGGCAAAAGAAGGGGUUUUCCCGAGAAAAAGAAGGGGUUUUUCUGGGGAAAAGGGGUUUUCCCGGGAAAAAGAGAGGGGUUUUCCUGGGAAAGGGAGUGGGGCAGGGGGAUCCUCAGAUCCGUUCCCCGAGCGCGGGCGGCCACGGGCGGCAUGGCAGGAAAAGGAGACCCGGAGCGUGCCGGGAGCCCCGGGGUGGGAAAAUGGGAAUUCCAACGGGGAAUUCCAACUGGGAUUCCAAUGAAAAUUCCAUUUGGGAUUCCAACCGGGGAUUCCAACUGGGAUUUCCAACUGGGAAUUCCAACUGGGAUUUCAAACUGGAAUUUCCAGCCAGGAUUUCCAACCAUGAUUCCAAUGAAAAUUCCAACUGGGAUUUCCAACUGGGAAUUCCAACCGGGAUUCCAAUGAAAAUUCCAGUUGGGAUUUCCAACCGGGAUUUCCAACCGGGAUCUCCAACAGGGAAUUCCAACAGGGAAUUCCAAGGGGCGUCCGUAGGGCAGAGCAGAUUUAAGGCGCGGGAGGCGCUUCCGGAGCCUGCGGAAUGCGGGGAUGGACGGACGGGAAUCCCCGGGAUGGGAUGGGACGAAGCUGGAGAAGGACGCCUCUUCCAGCCGCGUUUUUCCCGAGUUUUCCGUCGGCUCCGUCGGGUUUGCGCUUCCGGUUGGGAGCCGGGCGCUUCGGGCUUUUCCCCAGCGUUUUUCCCGCAGUUUUCCCCAGUUUUAUUCCCAUAAACCAAAAUCCUGCCAAAUCCCGUCCUCUGGAAUUUCCUUGGGAAGGGUUGGGAUAGCGGGAAUGGGAUCGGGGUUCCCGCCCCGAGUGGGGCUAUCCCGGAAAAACAGAAAAGUUGGGAUGAGUUUGGGGUGGCGGCUCCUCAUUCCCAGGGUUUGAGGGAGCUGGGAAAACCCGGCCUGGGAAAAGGAAAAAAAAGGAGGAUCCUGAGGGAGCUGCUGCCUCUGGAAUUCCCAGGCGGGAUCGGGAUCUGCUCCCAGGGAAGGAGGGAUGGGAUGAGAGGAAACGGAGGUUUCUGGGAUUUUGGGAAUAAUUCCUGCUUGGAAAGGAUUUUCCUCAUUCCCGGAUGGAUUCAAAUCCGCGUGGAUCCCCCACAAACCAGGCUUGGCCUCGAAGGGCCGGAAUCCACCUCCGAGGGAUUUCCUGACCCAAAGAAUUCCGUAAUUCCCAGAUUUUCUCGGCGCCCGGGAAAACCCAACCCCGCCCCGGAGCGGCCACGGCUUUCCCAUCCAGGAGCUCCCGGAUCUGGGAUGAAUUCCGGGAUGAAUUCCAGGAUGAAUUCCGGGAUGAAUUCCAGGAUGAAUUCCGGGAUUUCACUCGGAAAAACCUUCCCGGAAAAUUUUCCCAGUCGGUUCUCCAGGAAGGAAAAAGAACCCGGGAAAAAAACACCAAAUCCAGGUUUUUCUCCCAUCUCUGAAAAAGGGAGGGGCCUGGAGGAUUUGUGGGAUCCGGGAAUGAAAAGCUGGAUUGCAGCUCCAGGAGAUUCGGGAUUUUGGGAUCUGAGGUGGG